UCCGGUGUCGAUAGCUACGGGGAUCCACCUGUUCCCAUACCGAACACAGAAGUUAAGCCCGUAAACGCCGAAAGUACUUGGCUGGAGACGGCCUGGGAGGAUAGGUAGACGCCGGUUA
rnacentral:rRNA from 1 species